AGAGCAAGUCACUGGGACACCCUAAUCUCACAGUGCCACUAAGUAAAGCGUUUCCCAGGACUGACUUUUCUCCCGCUUGGCUAUCUAGCCUUUUGUAAACUGCGCUAGGACCCAAAGGGGCUUGCUACUCUAUUGCUUACUCUGGCAGCAGACUGUGGCACUGUCUAUAUGAUAAUGCAUUUGCAGAUAUGUAGACUAAGAGAGUUUUUAGCCAUGGAAGCAUCCAUCAAGUCUUUUCAAUGAUUGCUGGAAAACCAGGCAAUAUGUGGAAGGGUCAACACUGGAGCAGUCAGUCUCUGGGCAAGUGGUUCACAGCUAAGAGUUUGUUCUGAAUCUUAGAAGAGACUUUGGACUUGGACAGAACAAGCUGUGUGAAGCAAGCUGGAGCAAUCAAGAUUUUGAAGAUUCUUACAAGACGGACAAAACAUGUUCUGCAUUUUGAGAUUGCAUGAUCCUUAGGGGCCAGGGUGGAAGGUUAUGGUUUGAAUAUGAAAUGUCUCACAUGGGCUCAGGUGGUACACACCAUGUAAGUAGUCUGAGCUGGAAAAAGCAGAUCAUUGGGGUCAUGUUUCUGAAGGUUAUACUAGUCUGUGGUCUCAUUCUCUUUCUCCUUCCUGGCUGCCAUGAUGAGAUCUACUCUGCUCUGCUCCAUACUCCCUGCUAUGAUGGACUAUGAACAAAAUAAAUCCUUCCUCCAUGA